UACGUAGGGUCCGAGCGUUGUGGAAUUACUGGGCGUAAAGAGCUCGUAGGUGGUUUGUCGCGUUGUUCGUGAAAACUCACAGCUCAACUGUGGGCGUGCGGGCGAUACGGGCAGACUUGAGUACUGCAGGGGAGACUGGAAUUCCUGGUGUAGCGGUGGAAUGCGCAGAUAUCAGGAGGAACACCGGUGGCGAAGGCGGGUCUCUGGGCAGUAACUGACGCUGAGGAGCGAAAGCGUGGGGAGCGAACAGG
rnacentral:rRNA from 1 species